UACGGAGGGGACUAGCGUUGUUCGGAAUUACUGGGCGUAAAGCGCACGUAGGCGGAUUUGUAAGUCAGGGGUGAAAUCCCGGGGCUCAACCUCGGAACUGCCUUUGAUACUGCGAAUCUCGAGUCCGGAAGAGGUGAGUGGAAUUCCUAGUGUAGAGGUGGAAUUCGUAGAUAUUAGGAAGAACACCAGUGGCGAAGGCGGCUCACUGGUCCGGUACUGACGCUGAGGUGCGAAAGCGUGGGGAGCAAACAGG
rnacentral:rRNA from 1 species